rnacentral:lncRNA from 1 species
GAAUGAUCAGACAGCUACAGUGAACAGAGAAGCUCGAGAAGUGGUAACUACAAUCUGGCGUUGUAGCUUUGUUUGUUGUGAGACUGUGAGCGUUGUAGGGAGUUGUUUGUCACGCGUAUAAACCUAGCCUGGUUAUUUGAGCGUGUGUGAGAUUUCAAAACAGAAUGAAAUCCGCUAAGAACACUAAAGUGAAACCUGCAGUAUCAUCUAAAGAAGAAGAGUGCGGAAUAUGGCUCGACACAAAAGAGUUAAAAGAAAAGAAACAACAGGUAAAAACAACUGAAUUCUAAUUAAAUAUAUUAUACUAAAUCUAACUUUUUUUAAGUGUAUUGAAAAUAUAUAUUUUUUUAAUUUUUUCAGAAACAACUGACCCGUCCAAUAUCCAAAUGAUUGAACCCACUUGCGAGAUCAGGGGAAUACAGUGUGGCAGUGGCACUGAGCUUCACUCAGACCAAACUCAACAUGCCUGUCACUAGACAAAGCACAAUAUCACAUUUCUUUUCACCCAAAUCCAGAGACCCUAACCCUAGUGUGGCUCAUUCUGGGAUGUCCAGCUUCAUGCACGCAGAGGCACGCACCGGGGCCAUGUUGCCCAUUAUACAGAAAAUGUGUUAGAAACACAAGAAUAUUGGAAUAAAGAAGCAUCAAAUGCAUAUCCAAAUCAGACAAUUCUUGAAACUGAGGCUUUCUUUCAUGAGGAGCACUGUGAUCUGAUGGUCUGGAAGCCCUCUGAAGAUGCACAUAAGAAUUUCCGUAAGUCUCUGGGUCCUAAACACACGGACAAACAUGAUUUAAGAGACUAGAAGGCCUCAUUUAAGGGGUCUAUCUUAACCUCUAGGCCUGUCAAUGAAAACCACAAAAGAUCGAAUGCUUCUGUGAUUACUAAUAAAAAUCAGGAGCAUUCUUGGU